GUUGAGGUGGCAGACUAAGGAAAAAUGCAGAAGACUUAAGCCCUUCUUACAGGGGUUCAACUCCCCUCCCCAACU
rnacentral:tRNA from 1 species